rnacentral:rRNA from 1 species
CCUACGGGAGGCAGCAGUGGGGAAUAUUGGACAAUGGGGGGAACCCUGAUCCAGCGACGCCGCGUGAGUGAAGAAGUAUUUCGGUAUGUAAACUUCUAUUAGCAGGGAAGAAAAUGACGGUACCUGACUAAGAAGCCUCGGCUAACUACGUGCCAGCAGCCGCGGUCAUACGUAGGGGGCAAGCGUUAUCCGGAUUUACUGGGUGUAAAGGGAGCGUAGGCGGUUCAGAAAGUCCGAUGGAAAAGGGCGGGGGCAAACACGGGGACUACUUGUGAAACUGUUGAACUGGAGUCCGGGAGAGGUAACGGGAAUUCCUAGUGUAGGGGUGAAAUGCGUAGAUAUUAGGAGGAACACCAAGGGCGAAGGCGGCUUGCUGGAACGUAAAUGACGCUGAGGCUCGAAAGCGUAGGGAGCAAACAGGAUUAGAUACCCGAGUAGUC